UACGUAGGGUGCAAGCGUUGUCCGGAAUUAUUGGGCGUAAAGAGCUCGUAGGCGGCUUGUUGCGUCGGCUGUGAAAUCCCGGGGCUCAACCCCGGGCCUGCAGUCGAUACGGGCAGGCUAGAGUCCGGCAGGGGAGACUGGAAUUCCUGGUGUAGCGGUGAAAUGCGCAGAUAUCAGGAGGAACACCGGUGGCGAAGGCGGGUCUCUGGGCCGGAACUGACGCUAAGGAGCGAAAGCGUGGGGAGCGAACAGG
rnacentral:rRNA from 1 species